rnacentral:sRNA from 1 species
GUGCUUUUCGUGGGGUUGAUGUCAAUUC